AAAAGCUUUUGAGAAUGCCAUUGCACAGCACUGGGUUGAAGAUUCUGAACAGCAAUGGGAGCAGUUUGCUUCUAUGGUCCCCACAAAGACCAUUGAUGAGCUUAAGGAACAUUACCAGCUACUUUUGGAAGAUGUUGCAGCCAUUGAAGCAGGACAAGUUCCAAUACCCAAUUACAAAGGAGAAGAAGCUUCGUCCUCUUCAACGAAAGAAGUAAAUCUAGGAUAUCCUGGGUCAGUGGAUGGGCGGCGGUCCAAUUGUGGUUAUGCAAAUGGAUUUUCAGGUACGAACCAUGACCCGAUUGGGCAUGGUGGAAAAGGAAAUUCUAGGUCUGAACAAGAGAGACGAAAAGGAAUACCGUGGACUGAAGAAGAACAUAGGUUGUUUUUGCUAGGUUUAGACAAAUUUGGGAAAGGAGAUUGGAGAAGUAUUUCAAGGAAUUUUGUGAUAUCUCGAACACCAACACAAGUAGCUAGUCAUGCCCAGAAAUACUUUAUUCGUUUGAAUUCCAUGAAUAGAGAUAGAAGAAGGUCAAGUAUUCACGACAUUACAAGUAUCAAUAAUGGAGGAGACGUUUCAACUCAUCAAGCUCCAAUUACAGGCCAACAGGUGAAUCCUAAUCCAUCGAAUCCAGCUGCACUUGGACCCUCAGUCAAGCACAGAACCCAACCCAAUAUGCAUAGUAUGGGCAUGUACGGUGCUCCGAUGGGUCACCCCGUCGCUGCACCGCCAAGCCACCUCGCCUCAGCCGUCGGAACACCGGUUAUGCUUCCUCAUGGACACCAUCCUCCUUAUGUACUUCCACUUGCAUAUCCUAUACCACCGCCGCCACCCCCCAUGCACCAGUAAAUGAAUGGUGCACAUAUAACUGCAUUUUCUUCUUUCUAAAUUUCAAUAGAGUUAGUAUAUCAUAAAUGCUUUUGAG
rnacentral:misc_RNA from 1 species